ensembl:lncRNA
CCCCUCUCUGGGUGCCCCCCGUGUCCCUGCGAGCUGCAGGAGCUCGGGAGGAGCUGUGGGCACAGGAAUGGGUGCUGGGAAAAGGGAGACAGGAAUUCUCAGGAGGGCUUUGACGGGAGAGCUGCAGAGCCAACAUCUCCCAGGGAGCUGGGGCUGCACACAGACAGGAAUGGUGUCGGUGCUCCCCACACAAGUGCCAAUGUUUCUGUGGAUCCCAGGCACCUCCUUCCCAGCCAACCCUCCUCUCCCAUCGUGUCUCACCGCCUCCCUCAGCCCCCUCUGCCUUAGUCAGCUCUGCCUUGUUUUGCUCCAAAAGCCUGAAUGUUUUGCACUUGAAUAUCAAAAGUUACUCUCAGAGCUCAGCAGGUUGUACCAGGUGUGCAGCCCUGCCAGCAAUAGGUGCUUCCACAUCUCCUGGUUUUAGCAAUAGCUCUUCUGUUCCCUCGUCUCCUGUUCCCAGCAAUUCCUGUUCCCUGCUUCCCUGCCUUCCCAGCAAUGGGUGCUUCCACAUCUCCUGCUUCCAGCAAUAGGUGCUUCCACAUUUCUUGCCUUUCCAGGAAUUCCUGCUCCCUCAUCUCCAGCCUUUCCAGCAAUUCCUGUUCUGUUCCCUCAUCUCCAGCCUUUCCAGCAAUUCCUGUUCCCUCAUCUCCACCUUUCCAGCAAUUCUUGUUCCCUCAUCUCCAGCCUUUCCAGCAAUUCUUGUUCCCUCAUCUCCUGCCUUUUCAGCAAUGGGUGCUUCCAUAUCUCCUGCUUCCAGCAAUAGGUGCUUCCACAUUUCUUGCCUUUCCAGGAAUUCCUGUUCUGUUCCCUCAUCUCCUGCCUUUCCAACAAUUCCUGUUCCCUCUUCUCCCGCCUUUCUAGCAAUAGGUGCUUCCCUCAUCUCCUGUUUCCAGCCACACCUGUUCUAUUCCUCAUCUCCUGUUUCCAUCAUUCCUGUUUCCAUCAUUCCUGUUCCCAUCUCCUGUUUCCAUCAUUCCCUGUUCCCAUCUCCUGUUUCCUUUAUUCCCUGUGUUCCCAUCUCCUGUUUCCAUCAUUCCUGUUUCCAUCAUUCCUGUUCCCACCAUUCCUGUUCCCAUCUCCUGUUUCCAUCAUUCCCUGUUCCCAUCUCCUGUUUCCAUCAUUCCCUGUGUUCCCAUCUCCUGUUCCCACCAUUCCUGUUCCCAUCUCCUGUUCCCACCAUUCCUGUUCCCAUCUCCUGUUCCCACCAUUCCUGUUCCCAUGUCCAUCAGUCCUGCCCCUCGUGUCCCCAGGAUCCGUGUGUGUCCUGUGUCUCUGCGGGAUCCGCGGCGGAUCCGAGCGGGGCUGGAUGUUCCGUGCGCGUCCCGGAUUUCUGGGCAGCCCCACGGUUCCUGCUGCCGUCUCUCAGUCUCUGCUCUCUCCUUUUCCCUCCCCCUGUGCUGAGAGUUUGGGGUUCUCCCUUCCCCUGUGCUGAGAGUUUGGGGUUCUCCCUUCCCCCUGUGCUGAGAGUUUGGGGUUCUCCCUCCCCCUGUGCUGAGAGUUUGGGGUUCCCCUUCCCCUGUGCUGAGAGUUUGGGGUUCUCCCUUCCCCUGUGCUGAGAGUUUGGGGUUCUCCCUCCCCCUGUGCUGAGAGUUUGGGGUUCUCCUCCCCGCAGGUUUUGGGCUGUGCAGAAGAGCUCACGGCAGCCCCUGGUGUUGGUGUUGAACCUCCACGUUCCAAGGGAAUUGUUUUGGGCACCCAAAGCAAUU